rnacentral:rRNA from 1 species
GACGAACGCUGGCGGCGUGCUUAACACAUGCAAGUCGAACGGUAAGGCCCUUCGGGGUACACGAGUGGCGAACGGGUGAGUAACACGUGGGUGAUCUGCCCUGCACUUCGGGAUAAGCCUGGGAAACUGGGUCUAAUACCGGAUAGGACCACUGCCUGCAUGGGUGGUGGUGGAAAGCUUUUGCGGUGUGGGAUGGGCCCGCGGCCUAUCAGCUUGUUGGUGGGGUGAUGGCCUACCAAGGCGACGACGGGUAGCCGGCCUGAGAGGGUGACCGGCCACACUGGGACUGAGAUACGGCCCAGACUCCUACGGGAGGCAGCAGUGGGGAAUAUUGCACAAUGGGCGCAAUCCUGAUGCAGCGACGCCGCGUGAGGGAUGACGGCCUUCGGGUUGUAAACCUCUUUCAGCACCGACGAAGCGCAAGCGACGGUAGGUGCAGAAGAAGGACCGGCCAACUACGUGCCAGCCGCCGCGGUAA